GAUGAACGCUAGCUACAGGCUUAACACAUGCAAGUCGAGGGGAAACGGCAUUGAGUGCUUGCACUCUUUGGACGUCGACCGGCGCACGGGUGAGUAACGCGUAUCCAACCUUCCCAUUACUGUGGAAUAACCUGCCGAAAGGCAGACUAAUACCGCAUAGUCUUCGUUGACGGCAUCAGAUAUGAAGUAAAGAUUUAUCGGUAAUGGAUGGGGAUGCGUCUGAUUAGCUUGUUGGCGGGGUAACGGCCCACCAAGGCGACGAUCAGUAGCCGGUCUGAGAGGAUGAACGGCCACAUUGGAACUGAGACACGGUCCAAACUCCUACGGGAGGCAGCAGUGGGGAAUAUUGCACAAUGGGGGGAACCCUGAUGCAGCGACGCCGCGUGAGCGAAGAAGGUUUUCGAAUCGUAAAGCUCUGUCCUAUGAGAAGAUAAUGACGGUAUCAUAGGAGGAAGCCCCGGCUAAAUACGUGCCAGCAGCCGCGGUAAUACGUAUGGGGCGAGCGUUGUCCGGAAUUAUUGGGCGUAAAGGGUACGUAGGCGGUUUUUUAAGUCAGGUGUGAAAGCGUGAGGCUUAACCUCAUUAAGCACUUGAAACUGGAAGACUUGAGUGAAGGAGAGGAAAGUGGAAUUCCUAGUGUAGCGGUGAAAUGCGUAGAUAUUAGGAGGAAUACCGGUGGCGAAGGCGGCCUUCUGGGCCAUAACUGACGCUGAGGAGCGAAAGCUAGGGGAGCAAACAGG
rnacentral:rRNA from 1 species